GAUGAUAGAUAUGGACAACCUACAAUAAUUGGAUCAUUUGGUAAAACUGGAGUACCCAACUCAGAUGCUUGGAUAUUUGUGUAAGCUUUAAGAAUGAUCGUCUAGAAGAAUUGGAUGCUAGGAAACAGUUCUAUGGGGCAGCAUUUGCACUGCACAGGUCAUGCACCAAGCUAGCAAAGUCCCCUACUUAUUGGGCCUUGAUUCUCAUGACCUAUUACAGCUGGCAAUGCAGAAUUUCUGAGUUUGCCACUUGAGAGUCUUGUGUAUGUUGCCAAAUUGGAUAAAUCACGAGGAACACAUGCAAGACCCAGUCAUCGGAAUCUGU